rnacentral:misc_RNA from 1 species
GAUGAAGAACGCAGCGAAAUGCGAUACGUAAUGUGAAUUGCAGAAUUCAGUGAAUCAUCGAAUCUUUGAACGCACAUUGCACUCUCUGGUAUUCCGGAGAGUAUGCUUGUUUGAGUAUCAGUAAACACCUCAAAUCUCUUGUUUCUUGUGAAUAAGAGAAUUGGACUUGAGCAAUCCCAACUCUUGCAAAAGAGGCGGGUUGCUUGAAAUGCAGGUGCAGCUGGACAUUCUUCUGAGCUAAAAGCAUAUUUAUUUAGUCCCGUAAAACGGAUUAUUACUUUUGCUGCAGCUAACAUAAAGGUUGAAUGGCCAAUAUGGCUGACUGAUGCAGGAUUAACAGAGAAUUUAUUCUUUGUAAACUCGAUCUCAAAUCAAGUAAGACUACCCGCUGAACUUAAGCAUAUCAAAAGCGGAGGA